UACGUAGGCAGCAAGCGUUGUUCGGAGUUACUGGGCGUAAAGAGUAUGUAGGCGGUUGGGUAAGUUUGGUGUGAAAUCUCCCGGCUUAACUGGGAGGGUGCGCUAAAUACUGCCUGGCUCGAGUGCGGGAGAGGGGAGCGGAAUUCCUGGUGUAGCGGUGAAAUGCGUAGAUAUCAGGAGGAACACCUGCGGUGUAGACGGCUCCCUGGACCGUGACUGACGCUGAGAUACGAAAGCGUGGGUAGCAAACAGG
rnacentral:rRNA from 1 species